CUCGGUGCCGAACUGCCGUGCUUGGUGGCGAACUGCCGAGCUCGGUGCCGAACUGCCGUGCUUGGUGGCGAACUGCCGAACUCGGUGCCGAACUGCCGUGCUUGGUGGCUGCUCGUUUGGCUGGUGUGAGCCGUGGAGUGCAGGGAUAAAGCAACCUCUUACCUUUCUUUUUUUUUUCGGGACAAGAGGCUGACUCUUCUCGGUUGCUGUCUCGUCUGUUCAGCCCAACGGGCCAUCGGAAACUGGGCCGAAACCAUGCUAGAAGAAGGGCCCGAAGCUAGUAGUUUCAUUUGUAAAGAGAUAGGGUUUCUAUUUGAAAUUCUCUCUUUUUCUUAACAUGUAAAAGUUUAUUGGUGUGUAUUUAAUUCCAAACACUUGAAAUUUGGUGGCUUUGAAAUUUCUGAAGUUGUACUUGUACCCUUAUUCAAGAAAUAAAAAUACUCUUUCAUUCGUCAA